rnacentral:rRNA from 1 species
GAUGAACGCUGGCGGCGUGCCUAAUACAUGCAAGUCGAGCGAACGGACGAGAAGCUUGCUUCUCUGAUGUUAGCGGCGGACGGGUGAGUAACACGUGGAUAACCUACCUAUAAGACUGGGAUAACUUCGGGAAACCGGAGCUAAUACCGGAUAAUAUUUUGAACCGCAUGGUUCAAAAGUGAAAGACGGUCUUGCUGUCACUUAUAGAUGGAUCCGCGCUGCAUUAGCUAGUUGGUAAGGUAACGGCUUACCAAGGCAACGAUGCAUAGCCGACCUGAGAGGGUGAUCCGCCACACUGGAACUGAGACACGGUCCAGACUCCUACGGGAAGCAGCAGUAGGGAAUCUUCCGCAAUGGGCGAAAGCCUGACGGAGCAACGCCGCGUGAGUGAUGAAGGUCUUCGGAUCGUAAAACUCUGUUAUUAGGGAAGAACAUAUGUGUAAGUAACUGUGCACAUCUUGACGGUACCUAAUCAGAAAGCCACGGCUAACUACGUG